AAGUCGUAACAAGGUUUCCGUAGGUGAACCUGCGGAAGGAUCAUCAUUAAACAGGUCUUUGACCAGUCCAAUCCAUAGAUUGACCCGGCGAGGAGGAUCGGUUUACCCGGAAGGGGUUGACGAGCCCGUAGGGUAUGGAAGAUCUCCGAGUGCCGGGAGACUUUAACACAAGUCGGUGCCAGUGAGCACACUGGUGGACAGCUGACGAGUCUUCGACCGGGGAAAUGCCCGGUGUCCACCUGGUCAAUUCAGACGAGAAAACUUUCGAACAGGAUUCUGACGGGGUAAUCCCGGUCAGUCAAUUGGUAAAAACUUUCGGCAAUGGAUCUCUCGGCUCUCC
rnacentral:misc_RNA from 1 species